GAUGAACGCUGGCGGCGUGCCUAAUACAUGCAAGUCGAGCGAACGGACGAGAGGCUUGCUCCCCUGAUGUUAGCGGCGGACGGGUGAGUAACACGUGGAUAACCUACCUAUAAGACUGGGAUAACUUCGGGAAACCGGAGCUAAUACCGGAUAAUAUUUUGAACCGCAUGGUUCAAAAGUGAAAGACGGUCUUGCUGUCACUUAUAGAUGGAUCCGCGCUGCAUUAGCUAGUUGGUAAGGUAACGGCUUACCAAGGCAACGAUGCAUAGCCGACCUGAGAGGGUGAUCGGCCACACUGGAACUGAGACACGGUCCAGACUCCUACGGGAGGCAGCAGUAGGGAAUCUUCCGCAAUGGGCGAAAGCCUGACGGAGCAACGCCGCGUGAGUGAUGAAGGUCUUCGGAUCGUAAAACUCUGUUAUUAGGGAAGAACAUAUGUGUAAGUAACUGUGCACAUCUUGACGGUACCUAAUCAGAAAGCCACGGCUAACUACGUG
rnacentral:rRNA from 1 species